UACAGGGGGUGCAAACGUUGCUCGGAAUCAUUGGCGUAAAGCGCACGUAGGCGGUUUGUUAUGUCGGAUGUGAAAGCCCUUGGCUCAACUGAGGAAGUGCAUCCGAAACUGGCAAGCUAGAGUACUUAAAGAGGAUCGCGGAAUUCCUGGUGUAGAGGUGAAAAUUCGUAGAUAUCGGGAGGAACACCGGUGGCGAAGGCGGCGUUCUGGACUGCAACUGACACUGAGGAACGAAAGCCAGGGGAGCAAACGGG
rnacentral:rRNA from 1 species